rnacentral:rRNA from 1 species
AUUGAACGCUGGCGGCAGGCCUAACACAUGCAAGUCGAGCGGAUGAAGGGAGCUUGCUCCUGGAUUCAGCGGCGGACGGGUGAGUAAUGCCUAGGAAUCUGCCUGGUAGUGGGGGAUAACGUCCGGAAACGGGCGCUAAUACCGCCUACGUCCUGCGGGAGAAAGUGGGGGAUCUUCGGACCUCACGCUAUCAGAUGAGCCUAGGUCGGAUUAGCUAGUUGGUGGGGUAAAGGCCUACCAAGGCGACGAUCCGUAACUGGUCUGAGAGGAUGAUCAGUCACACUGGAACUGAGACACGGUCCAGACUCCUACGGGAGGCAGCAGUGGGGAAUAUUGGACAAUGGGCGAAAGCCUGAUCCAGCCAUGCCGCGUGUGUGAAGAAGGUCUUCGGAUUGUAAAGCACUUUAAGUUGGGAGGAAGGGCAGUAAGUUAAUACCUUGCUGUUUUGACGUUACCAACAGAAUAAGCACCGGCUAACUUCGUG